rnacentral:sRNA from 1 species
UGAGAUUAAUGAAGAAAAUAACCUACUCAGAAAAUAAGGCAUCGUGUUUAUAUAUUGUUUAUUUUUGUAUUGCUAAAUUUAUUCAUUUAUUUUUAAAUUACUAUGAUGACUAAAAACCACCUGGAUUCUAUUUCUACACAGUCCACCAGUGAGCAAGCUGGGCCUUGACUAAGUGAAUGGUUAUUUUCUACCUUUUUGCUUGUGCUGGGCAUCUUACUUUUCAUCAGAUGGACAAUAAAGAACUACCCAUCAAAUUAAAUGGAUAUUCAGGAGGCAAGGGGCAGAUAGAUUGAAGAAACACAGUUAAAAAAACCAAUCACAAAGAAGCACACA